rnacentral:misc_RNA from 1 species
GAAAAGUCCGAAGAUGGAGUUUGUUUCAGGAGGAACACAACCCGGUGGUACAGUUGUGACUGCUCCUAAAAUAAAUAUACCUUUUUCAGGUGUUUCAGCCAUCACUGGUAGUGGAUUACAUUCAGCAGCUCCUGCAUCUGAUGCCAUUCCUAGGGAUGGAAGACAAAACAAAAAAUCAAAAUGGGAUAAGGUAGAUGGAGAUAGAAGAAAUCCAGUAAUUUCCGGUGGGUCAGAUGCAGCUAGUGCCCAUGCAGCUUUACUAUC